UUGAUCUCCCAACCCCAAUGUUGCAUAAGCAACUUCGGUCUGUCAUGGAGAUGGAGGCGGCUCUCGACAAAUCUUCC
rnacentral:rRNA from 1 species